rnacentral:rRNA from 1 species
UACAGAGACUGCGAGCGUUAUUCGGAUUCACUGGGCGUAAAGGGUGCGCAGGCGGCCGUGUGUGUGAGGCGUGAAAGCCCGGGGCUUAACCCCGGAAUUGCACCUCAAACUACACGGCUAGAGCAUUGGAGAGGGUAGCGGAAUUCACGGUGUAGCAGUGAAAUGCGUAGAUAUCGUGAGGAACACCAGAGGCGAAGGCGGCUACCUGGACAAUUGCUGACGCUCAGGCACGAAAGCGUGGGGAGCAAAAGG